AUAUACUAUCCACAGUCAUAACGAGAAACACCUCACACACACACACAAAAUAAAAGGGAACAUAUUGUACAGCUUGUCCGUCUUCGUUUGGUCAUUACAUUUGAGGCGGGUGUUAGUGUCAGAUAGACACUUCCAUCAUCCAACAACUGGAGCAUGGCUUAGGUUAAUGGGCCCUAUAGUGAGCCGGACGGGCCUUAUUGGUGCAAACGACAAACACGAAAUGCUCCUCAACAAAUUCGUGGGCGGCCACGCAGAUUGUUGUUGUUUCGUUUGUUUUGAAUAACUUACAGCCCCAACGCUUGUCGUAUUUAAAUGUCCGUCUCCAUUUUCAAACGUCGUAUAAUGCGAACAAAACGUCAGCGAGAAUGGAGGCGUAUGUCUCUUGUUUCCCACUUGGUAGGUGGCCCUUUGUAUAUAUAUAAGAAACAAACGAAUGAAAUUAAGGGUUGAAAUCAUUGCUCGUUUCGGUUCGAUUACUCUGAUCGGAUUGGGAAUUUUUUCCGAUCUUAUUUUCAAGCGGGAGACAGGAUAUCAGACGCGGGCGACGACAUAAAAGAGUCGACGGGAUGAAAGCCGAUGAACCUUGGCAGAAUUCUUAUAUUUCCAUCCCCGGUGGUCUCGUCCUUCCGCCAUCAUCAUCGUCUCUUCUAUAUAUUCCAUCUCGAUUUCUUUUAUAUAUUUUUUUUCUAUUUCGAUUAUUCUAUAAUUUUUUUUUUGUCCCAUCGGAAUUCGUUGUACUGAUCUGCUUUUUUCUUGCGCUGAUCUACAAGACUGUGAUGGUAUUAGUUCCAAUGUCACGACGCCUCUCUCCUUGUUGUGUUCGCUCAAUCCAUCGUGACUUGUGCACGACAUCCAUCCAUUUUUCUUCGUAUUCCCUUGUGUGAAGUAUAAUCUAUUUUGUGCUGAAAGUUCUGAUGUUUUUAGGGGGUCCUAAAUUACGCAACGCCAUGUGACCCAUUUUUUGUUUUUUUUUAAAUUGACAAUUCUUGUUCUAAGGUUUCGGUAAUCUAUGCACCCGAGUGACAGUCGAUUUCCCAGUUAUUGAGGCACCAUCCGCUUGCGAUUUAUAGUUCAAAGAAAUUCAAAGUGGUUUCAAUCUAACGUCACUUUUUGAUUCCGUUUUAUAUACGAAAAUGGGCUUGGCUCCCAAUAUUUGAUUGGGAAUCAGCGUCUAAUUUUGGUUAUAGAAUGUUAUGUUUCAUUGAAAUCCAAGUUAAAAUUGUAAGCCCAAUGUUGUUUUGUGCAAAAAAAGUCGGACUUAUUUCAUUUGUUCUCUCAAAUCUAAUCUAUACGCAUUCAAAUGAAACGAGGAUCGUGAAAAUCGUUUGUAUUGUAUUCGAAUUCAAAGUUGUUGAAAUUAAAUAGUAAGUUAGAAAUUAAA